UACAGAGGGUGCGAGCGUUUGUCCGGAAUCACUGGGCGUAAAGGGCGCGUAGGUGGUGGCUUAAGCGUGCGGUGAAAGCUCGGGGCUCAACCCCGAGUCGGCCGUGCGAACUGGGCUCACUGGAGCAUAGUAGAGGCAGGUGGAAUUCCGGGUGUAGCGGUGAAAUGCGCAGAUAUCAGGAGGAACACCGGUGGCGAAGGCGGGUCUCUGGGCAGUAACUGACGCUGAGGAGCGAAAGCGUGGGGAGCGAACAGG
rnacentral:rRNA from 1 species